GUGGGGGAUAUUGCACAAUGGGGGAAACCCUGAUGCAGCGACGCCGCGUGGAGGAAGAAGGUUUUCGGAUUGUAAACUCCUGUCGUUAGGGACGAUAAUGACGGUACCUAACAAGAAAGCACCGGCUAACUACGUGCCAGCAGCCGCGGUAAAACGUAGGGUGCAAGCGUUGUCCGGAAUUACUGGGUGUAAAGGGAGCGUAGACGGAGUGGCAAGUCUGAUGUGAAAACCCGGGGCUCAACCCCGGGACUGCAUUGGAAACUGUCAAUCUAGAGUACCGGAGAGGUAAGCGGAAUUCCUAGUGUAGCGGUGAAAUGCGUAGAUAUUAGGAGGAACACCAGUGGCGAAGGCGGCUUACUGGACGGUAACUGACGUUGAGGCUCGAAAGCGUGGGGAGCAAACAGGAUUAGAAACCCGUGUAGUCC
rnacentral:rRNA from 1 species